AUUGAACGCUGGCGGUAUGCUUAACACAUGCAAGUCGAACGGUAACAGGCCUUCGGGCGCUGACGAGUGGCGGACGGGUGCGUAACGCGUAGGAAUCUGCCUGGUAGUGGGGGACAACUUGGGGAAACUCAAGCUAAUACCGCAUACGCCCUACGGGGGAAAGCGGGGGACCUUCGGGCCUCGCGCUAUCAGAUGAGCCUGCGUUGGAUUAGCUGGUUGGUAGGGUAAAGGACUACCAAGGCGACGAUCCAUAGCUGGUCUGAGAGGACGAUCAGCCACACGGGGGCGGAGACACGGCCCAGACUCCGACGGGAGGCAGCAGUGGGGGAAUAUUGGACAAUGGGCGCAAGCCUGAUCCAGCAAUACCGCGUGUGUGAAGAAGGCCUGAGGGUUGUAAAGCACUUUUAAUCGGGAGGAAAACCUGUCGGCGAAUACCCGGCGGCUUGACAUUGCCGAUAGAAAAAGCACCGGCUAACUCCGUGCCAGCAGCCGCCGUAACAC
rnacentral:rRNA from 1 species